CAAAAAAGAUGGAGAAAUUAAGAGGGCCAGUUAUGAGAGCUCAAAAAUGGUAUAUGUAAGAUAAGAGUGUAGAUAAUGUCCCCACGUACUCAAUCAAUGAAACCCUAGCUUGAAGUUUUCAGUCUGAGCCAGAGACAUGGAAAUUCCAGAAUCUCUUAGAUUCAAUGGACACGUGGUGGCCAUGCCAUUCCCAAGUCGAGGACACGUGAACUGCAUGAUGAACCUCUGCAAACUACUCGCGGCAGCAUCUUCAUCUUCUCCCUUCAUCAUCACCAUUCUUGUCACCGAAGAGUGGCUCGGCUUCAUCGGCUCCGAGCCGAAGCCGAGCAACGUUCGCUUCGCCACCAUCCCCAACGUUAUCCCUUUCCAAUCUUAGAUAGCCUCCGAUAUCCCCGCUUUCUUCAAAGCCGUCGUCACCAACAUGGAACCUCCCUUCGACCACCUCCUCCGCCGCCUUCACCCUCCCGUCACCGCCCUCGUCGCCGACGUCGAGCUUCACUUCCCUGUCGCCGUCGCCCGCCGCAGUAAUAUUCCGGUCGCGCUGCUUUGGACCAUGUCGGCUUCCUUUUACCUCACGUUGCAUCAACUAGGAAGCUUGGUUCGUAACCACUCUUUGAAGGUUGAUGUUUUAGAUGAUUAUGAAGAGCAUAUACCAGGAAUUUCUGCAGCACAAUUAGCUGAUCUUCGAACGGUGCUUCGUGAAAAUGACUUGAGGUUUUUGCAGCUUGAGUUGGAAUGCAUUUCAGUAGUGCCAAAAGCAGAUUGUCUUAUAGUUAAUACUGUUCAAGAGUUGGAAGCUGAAGUAAUUGAUUCUUUGAGAGCCAUGUUCCACUUUCCAAUUUGUCCCAUUGCCUUUCCUUACUUCAAACACGAAACAUGUCAUUUUGUGACCAACGACAGUGAUUACAACGUUGACUACUUAAAUUGGCUAGAUCAUCAGCCAUCCAUGUCUGUAUUGUACAUUUCUCUCGGUAGUUUCCUUUCUGUGUCAUGUGCCCAAAUGAAUUAAAUUGUUUCAGCUUUGAACACGAGUGGUGUUUGUUACUUGUGGGUGGUUCGUGGAGAAGUUUCAUGGUUAAAAGAGAAAUGUGGGGAUAGGGGUUUAGUGGUGCCUUGGUGCGACCAAUUGAAGGUUUUGUCACAUCCUUCUGUAGGUGGGUUUUGGAGCCACUGUGGGUGGAAUUCAACUCUAGAAGCUGUUUUUGGUGGUAUUCCAAUGCUGACAUUCCCUCUUUUCUUAGACCAAGUUCCAAAUAGUAGGCAAAUUUUGGAAGAGUGGAAGAAUGGGUGGGAGCUUAAAAGAUCAGAUUUGGGAAGUGCAGAAUUGAUAACAAAAGAUGAAAUAGUGCAAGUGAUUAGAGAGUUUAUGGAUCUUGGAAAGCGAAAAGAAAUUCGAGACAGGGCACUAGAAUUUAAGGGCAUUUGUGACCGAGCAGUUGCAGAAGGUGGAUCCUCCAAUGUGAACCUUGAUGCAUUUAUAAAAGAUGUUUUGUGUGUUCAAGGUCAUUGAGAGGCAGGGGAUAUGUGAUGGACAAAAUAGGCAAAUAAAAGAUGUGAUAUGUGUGAUGUACAUUUUACUUGGUUGAGCUUAAAAUAGGCAGAUAAAACUAGAAAGGAGAAAAAUUGGAAACAAAAUUAUCUUGCUCUUAUUUGAUUUUUGGUUCAUGUGAGGGUGAAGGAUAAAGAUAAUGAAAUUCAUCUGUACUUCACCAUUGGUACUUUGAUCCAUACAUAUAAAUUAUGGAACUAUUCCCUUAACUGUGACAGGAUCUUAGGCAUAUCAGCUUUUGAGCUUACACCAGCUGCAACCUGAGGUUGGUGAGCCUGGAAUAGAUUGUCCCAUUUUGAAGAUGCAAUCAGCAAGAGUAACAAUCAGGAGUUAUAAGGUUGGUUUCGUGGGGUUUAAGAGUUGAAGGGAGAGGGGGAGAUAUCGUGAGAUUGAAUCCCCCAUUACCAUUCUAACUAACUAAUAAUUAACAUUUUAUUUAGCAUCUUUUGUUUUGCCCUUCUAAUUGCAAAACAUUUUAAUCACUUGAUAUUUGUACCGAAAGCAGCAAAUAAAAAUAUGCUUAGUUGUACUGA